GAUGAACGCUGGCGGCGUGCCUAAUACAUGCAAGUCGAGCGAACAGACGAGGAGCUUGCGCCUCUGACGUUAGCGGCGGAAGGGUGAGUAACACAUGGGUAACAUCUCUCUCAGACUGGGAUAACAUCGGGAAACAGGAGCUAAAACCGGAGAAUAUCUUGGACCGCAUGGUGGAAUAGUGAGAGACGGUUUUGCUGUCACUUAUAGAUGGUGCCGCGCCGCAUCAGCUAGUUGGUAAGGUAACGGGUUACCAAGGCAACCAUUCGUAGCUGACCUGAGAGGGUGAUCGGCCACACUCGAACGGAGACACGGACCAGACUCCUACGGGAGGCAGCAGUAGGGAAGGUUUCGCAAUGGACGAAAGCAUGACGGAGCAAGGCAGCGUGAGUGAUGAAGGUCUUCGGAUCGUAAAACUCUGUUAUUCGGGAAGAAAGAAUGUGUGAGUAACUAUGCACGUCUUGACGGUACCUAGACAGAAAGCCACGGCUAACUACGUG
rnacentral:rRNA from 1 species